CCUACGGGAGGCAGCAGUGGGGAAUAUUGCACAAUGGGGGAAACCCUGAUGCAGCGACGCCGCGUGAGUGAAGAAGUAUUUCGGUAUGUAAAGCUCUAUCAGCAGGGAAGAAAAUGACGGUUCCUGAUAAAGAAUGCCCGGCUAACUACGUGCCAGCAGCCGGCGUAAUACGUAGGGGGCAAGCGGUAACCGGAGUUACUGGGUGUAAAGGGAGCGUAGACGGGAGCAAAAGUCUGGAGGGAAAUGCCAGGGGUUAACCCCGGAACUGCAUUGGAAACUGAGAAACUAGAGUGCGGGAGAGGUAAGUGGAAUUACUAGUGUAGCGGUGAAAUGCGUAGAUAUUAGGAAGAACACCAGUGGCGAAGGCGGCUUACUGGACUGGAACUGACGUUGAGGCUCGAAAGCGUGGGGAGCAAACAGGAUUAGAUACCCGGGUAGUC
rnacentral:rRNA from 1 species